GGGGGCGUAAUUGGUUUCGACGGGGGUAAGAUGUGUUUGAGAAGCGAGUCGAGGGAAUCCUGUGGGCCCGCGUUAAAAAACUAUGGGGUUUAAAUAUAAACGAAAACGAUAAUUUAGCAUUAGCUGCCUAAUAUAGCAGCUCGUCAGCCUAAGAUUCCCACGACUUAGGGUCUGGCGUCGACAGUGGGGAAACGAGUCCAGGAAAGCUUUGACCUGGAAACGGAAUUUAUGAAGCUACUGAACUUAGAAGCCUGUCCUUAGGCGUCUAAGAGAGGGAAUUCUAAAAUAAGGACUGCACUCGGAGAUGCUCAAAUGUUUCUGCUUUCGGACAGGGGUUCGACUCCCCUCGCCUCCACCA
rnacentral:tmRNA from 3 species